AUCAAUGGCAAUGAUCAAAGUCUCAGUUGAGUUACAAAAUAAAUUUUAUUAAGAUUAGUGCAAUUGCCGGACCCACAGAAUUCUCCUCGUUCUGAUAGGCCAAGGGAUUUGGCAUUAUCUGGAGGGAGGAGGAAAAGACCUCCGCAUUCAGAGCCGUGUUCAGAUCAAUUGCCUUGCUGUGGAUCACAAAGGAGCGUCCAACGAUUCCAUUAAUGCCAAACAAUUGGAGAUAAGGAGUUACAAAAAAUCCUUACGAAAUUAUUGGGAAACUGCCCGCCCGUGGACUUGCAACCAUCGCUCAGGUCUCCGAAGGUGUGGAUAUGCAGAGCAUGCUUACCAGGUGGUAAUCC